UCACGCCCUGGCGCGCCCAGGGAGGGCAGCACCUCUGCGCGGCGGGCGGUUUUCUCUGGGGUCCAGUUACGCUUUUCUGUCUCUUUUGCUUUUUAGCAACAUCUGCACACAAAACACGGAAUUUUACUGCGUAAAAGUCCCAGGCUCCAAGAAUUCCAAUUACAUUGUAAGGAAAAAGACACCUAAGAAAAGUUUGCAAAGAGUAUGUUACCAUUUGGCUUCAUUUCUAUGGAGACCAAAGCUGUUCAAGUCAUCAUAUGGCAGAGGAAAUCAAUCAACAAAUAAAACAGCGAGUCACCCGUACGUACCGUGCUCUGGGCUGGCCCUGCCCGCAGCUCCGGACCUCUGAAGAGUUGGGCUUUGCGAAACGGAGUGGCGGAGGCCACACAGCGAAUCUCCCUGACUGUCCCUUUCAAUGGUGCUCUCUGUCAGCCUCUGCAGUCCUCGGAUGCUGCUGACGGUCCGUGUGGGCGGCUGUUAGAGGGGAGUCCCCACCUCCCCUCCCGGGGCCGCUGUGGCAGGGAACUCAGAUGGGUGGGGCACGACAGGCUGCCCUUCCUUGCCCAGAAGAGGACUUGGGCUGGGCAUGUAGAAACACGCACGCGCACACACCCACACACACGCCGCAGAGGGACACAGCGGCCGACCGACGCCUGUCCCACUCCCACGGAGUGCAGCGGGAAAGCCGACUCCUAGGGCAGAUGGAGGAGGCUUUGUCAGAGGGAGCCGCCCAGGUGUACCGCCGUCUCCUCCGCUGAACACCAGAAACAGCUACCGAAGCACGGCUUUAAAACCGACAGCUGGGGAACAUCUGGGCAGCUGGGCGAAGGGACGCCCGUGUGCUGUGGCCUCAGUGCCCCUGAGCACGCGCUACAGACUUGACCCCCGGCUUCACAGCCAGACGCCGAUGCCAAGGCCUCGGGCUUCCCAGCCCACAGAACCCUGAGCCAAAUAUGUAAACCUGUUUCUCACAAACAUCCAGUCUCUGAGAUUCUGAGACAGCAACAGAAAACAGUCUAAAGUAUCAGAUUACAUUUGCAACUUCCUGUGAGCUGAUAAUUAUCUCAAAAUAAAAAGUCAAUAUAUGCAUAACUCUGAGAUCAAAUGAAACGCUUCCUAGGGAAAGGGAAUUGUUUAAAAAACAAGUGGUUCAAAGGAGAAAGGAAAGAAGGGGAAGAAAAAAGUAUGAGAAAAGAAGGAAAAAGAUGGAAACAAAGUUUUUUUUUUUUCUGGUACCAGGGAUCGAACUCAGGACCUUGAGUUUGCAAGGCAGGUGCAGCACCACUGAGCUACAUCCCCGGCCCAGAAACAAAGCUUUUGUAAAUAGGGCGGGGUGAAAGGGAAGGCAGGGAAUGGGAAAAAACAAGAACUAAGACAUAGCACGUACAGGUACAAAUUCCCGGUGAUGAAUGUGAUCGUAAUGUAUACCUAGAAUGUAC
rnacentral:lncRNA from 1 species